rnacentral:lncRNA from 1 species
GGCUUUAUGAACCAAGGAGAUUAGCGCUGCUUUCCCAAGACGAGUUUAUGUGAUUAUAAUCUUCAGGCUUUGCCUAUCCAGGUGGGCAUUAUUUUAUUAUUACGUAUAUAGAGAUCCCCUGCGUGACGUAGGCCUCAUAUGCGAAUAUAUAUGCAUGAUAUGUUUUGACUAUUUAUUCAGUUCUUAUGAAAUGCUUAUAUGUUUAAUGCCCUUUAUGAAAAUGAAAAUGUUAUGAAAAUGAAAUAUUUAUGAAAUGAUUGACUGCCAAAAUGUUUAUGUUUUUAUAUGUAUCCUAUCUGUGUUGGUUCGCCAACUUUAAAGGAAAUCCAAUUGGGAUCCUAUGCUUGACAAAGGUCGCUAGCUAGGGUUAACGUGUACACUUAUGGAGACCGCGAGUCGCUUGCGACCGGUCUUGGCGUCCGUGGUAAGGAGGCCUCCUUCCCGGCGCGUGACAGAAAGGAACAGAUAUGGAUCAUAUGACUGAAAAUGAUCGGCCGAUCGACUUUAUGAAAAUGAAAGAAAUAUUUUAGUAAGCGCAGGUCAUUUAAGAAAACCCCUGUGUGUUACUGUUAUGGCAGUUCAAUUUAUAUAUGUAUGCAUGUUGUAUUUUCGGCUAUGUCCACUGAGUAUUUUUAUACUCAGCCCUGCAUGUAUUUCUAAAUGUGCAGGUUGAGCAGUUGAUGGAAUGGAAUGAUGUUGAGCGGGUGUUCCUUUGACAUUUCAAGAAAUGUAACCUUGAGUAUACAUCUUCAUAUGUAUAUCUCACACGUUUUCCGCUGCAAAACACUUUGAUUAGGAUAACUCUAUGUUAUGAAGUUGUUACACGUGUUAUUGGGUAAACCACC